rnacentral:tRNA from 1 species
GAGGUUGUAGCUCAGUGGUUGAGUGCGUGCCUUGAGUGCAUGAGGCACUGGGUUCGAUCCUCAGCACCACA